GACGAACGCUGGCGGCGUGCUUAACACAUGCAAGUCGAACGGAAAGGCCCUGCUUGCAGGGUACUCGAGUGGCGAACGGGUGAGUAACACGUGGGUGAUCUGCCCUGCACUUCGGGAUAAGCCUGGGAAACUGGGUCUAAUACCGGAUAGGAGCCAUUUUUAGUGUGAUGGUUGGAAAGUUUUUUCGGUGUAGGAUGAGCUCGCGGCCUAUCAGCUUGUUGGUGGGGUAAUGGCCUACCAAGGCGGCGACGGGUAGCCGGCCUGAGAGGGUGGACGGCCACAUUGGGACUGAGAUACGGCCCAGACUCCUACGGGAGGCAGCAGUGGGGAAUAUUGCACAAUGGGCGCAAGCCUGAUGCAGCGACGCCGCGUGGGGGAUGACGGCCUUCGGAUUGUAAACUCCUUUCGCUAGGGACGAAGCUUUUUGUGACGGUACCUAGAUAAGAAGCACCGGCUAACUACGU
rnacentral:rRNA from 1 species